UCAGAAAAUAGGUAACCGGUUUUAAUCAGCUUCGGCUGCUCAUUUCGUCCUUCCGGUGCCCCCGUAGCCCCACUCCCUCCCGAUGCUAACACCGUCGGGCUUGGCUGUGGGAGCGUAAUGGCGGUGCACCGGGGACCCUCUACGAAAUGGCUCUUCACCCGGGAGCAGCUCGAAAACACGCCGUCUCGACGCGGCGGAAUAGAGGCCGACAGGGAGCUUUCUUACAGGCAGCAGGCCGCCAACUUAAUCCAAGAUAUAGGCCAGAGACUCAACGUCUCUCAACUAAUUAUCAACACUGCUAUAGUAUAUAUGCACAGGUUUUAUAUGAUUCACUCCUUCAGCAAAUUCCAUAGAAAUGUCAUUUCUCAGACUACGUUGUUCCUGGCAGCAAAAGUUGAGGAGCAGCCCAGGAAGCUGGAGCAUGUCAUUAAAAUAGCCCAUGCCUGCACUAACCCACAAGAGCCUGCCAUAGACACUAAGAGCAACGCAUUCCAGCAGCAGACACAAGAGCUUGUAGCACUGGAAACAAUAGUGCUUCAAACGCUGGGUUUUGAAAUAACAGUUGAUCAUCCACACACAGAUGUUGUGAGGUGUUCCCAGCUAGUACGAGCAAGCAAGGAUUUGGCACAGACUUCCUAUUUCAUGGCUACCAACAGGUUAUUAUCCUGUUCCCCUUAUUGCACUGUAAUGGCACACUAUAGCUUCCUGUCCUGCAGGGCCCCCCUUCCUGUGUCCAACGCCCUGUUUGCGCCUGGAACCCCGGGAACCCCCAGUGUGGGGAAGUACCGACCAGGCUGCUGUGUGCGGUGUAUUGUACAAGGGCUCUGUGUUGGCACAUAGGGGUUGAAUGCACUAUGUGGAGUGUAGUGGUGCUGUUUACCUCUCAAGGUUGUUUGGUACGGAGUGCACAUGUCUAAAAAAACUCAAAUGGUAGCCUGAAUAUAGAUUGCCACUAAAGAUUCUUAAACUUAUAGAGUGCUUUGAGGCUGCUAGUAUGAUAUGAAAGUCUGAGAGAUUGAUGUUCACAACAAAUGACGGUAGAUAGGAUCUCUUAAUUUCAGUUUAUGCACAAAGAAUGAAGUCCAGAUUAAAGUGUGGUGAAUGUAAUAACUUUAUUGAUGACAAUGAAGGUAUUAAAGAAUAAUAUUUGAGAGAAAUGUUCUUAUUGUCACGGUGUAUCUCCUAGGCUGGGUGACAUUACAGAAGUAGCCAAAUUUUUCACAGCGUUUUGAAUGUCAUCGCUGCACGUACAAUACUGCACAGUAUUUAAGAUGUUGCACUUUUACGUGUAUGCUUUUUUAAUUAUAUGUAUAUUUAAUUUUUUUUAAAUCUAUUCUAAUUAUGAUAUAAGAGGUCAUCAUUUUUGCAUAUACCUUUUUAAAUAAUAUAGAUAACUCAAACUAUAUUUACCUUUACACCUUAAGUCUACUUUUUAUGCAUUUCGAAUUACAAGGCUGUUUUAAUAUCUUUUAAAUGCAACUUGCGUUAAAAUUAAAACAAUUUCUGCUUUUCAGCUAAAAUUGUUGUAAAACAGCAAUGUUGCACUUUGGCACUUUGGAGUCAUUCUACUUGCUGAUAUUAAAAGUAGAAAGUGGAAUCAGAGAUAGGAGGGUUUUUAAUCUUAGUUCAACUUUCAGUUUGAUUCUUAGACGCUUGAUAAAUAUAAGCCCUGGUCAUUUUCAGCAGUUUUAGCUUCAAUACACGAGCCAGUUUGCAGCGUAGUUUGGGAUUUCAGGGUGCAGAGAAAAUAAACCGUAAAAAACGUAGUCUAAUCAUUUGUCUUGGCUACCAGUGUUUCUCAGUCUUAAAGUUCCCAUGUUUGAUGUCGUGAAGUUUCAGUGAUGAUGGUGCUGAACGUGCCGUCAUCAAUCAUUUUAUACUAAUACAAGUAGUGAGUAGAUUUUAUUUAAUUUGUUUAUGAAUUGGUAUUUCCUGACAUUAUUGCUAAUUAAGAGAUUAAGAAACACGUUUUUUAAUGUUUCAUAAUUUCCCCCUUUUUAAAUUCAAAUCAAAACAAUUACUAAUGUGGCCAAAUACAGGUUCAAUAUAUCAUAUGAACAUUUAGGAAUAUAUUCUUUCAAAUGUUGUUCCAGUAUUAUAAGGUAAGGCUGUGUGUAUGUGAUGUGAAAAUAUUAGUUUGAUUCUCAGUAAUGCUUUAAUGUUCUGCUAUUAAUUUGAACAUAUGUUAAUGUUCCCUUGUUAAACUGCCUCAUAUGUAUGUUAAAAUAAAAGGCCUUAAGCUGACAGUUGUAUCUUUCUCUUUUGUUUGUCUCCUGCAGUUUGCACCUCACCACCUUCUGCCUACAGUACAGGCCCACAGUAGUCGCAUGUGUCUGCAUCCACCUGGCCUGCAAGUGGUCCAACUGGGAGAU